UACGGAGGAUCCGAGCGUUAUCCGGAUUUAUUGGGUUUAAAGGGUGCGCAGGCGGGAGAUUAAGUCGGCGGUGAAAUUUUGCAGCUCAACUGUAAAAGUGCCUUCGAUACUGGUUUCCUUGAGUGUGGAUGAAGUAGGCGGAAUUUGUGGUGUAGCGGUGAAAUGCUUAGAUAUCACGAGGAACUCCGAUUGCGCAGGCAGCUUACUAAACUACUACUGACGCUCAGGCACGAAGGCGUGGGGAUCAAACAGGAUUAGAUACCCGGGUAGU
rnacentral:rRNA from 1 species